GUGACAUAUUGCAAGCCCAGGCACACAGAUCCUGGCCUGCUCUUGCACACAUAUCUCAAGCCCCACACCCCGGGUUCCUGGAUCAUCAAUUUGUCUAAGCCUCCAGAGCCUCCACCGGCUCAUGGCCUGAGAAUGGGAUCUGUCUGGCAAUCAAUCUUUUUCAGCAGUGCUGAAGAUCUAACCUCACAGAAAAGAGUCUAAGGCAAAAAACGAAAGCCAGCUUUUGCCAGGCAAAGCACCUUGUGCCUCUCCCAGGCAUCUAGCAUGCUCCUGCAUAGCCCAGGCUCAGCCUGGGGCCUCUCGCUCUCAUCAGGGCACGUGCAGACAAGGAGCCACCGUUCAACUUCACAGAGAGGCCACAUUCUUGCCCUGGUCUUGAAAGAAUCCCAGACUGUAAUGGAAAAGGAUCGACGUGGGAGAAAGAGGUUUGCUCACUUUCUGACUUGUUCUCUCGUGCUCACCUAAAUCUCUGUCUUUGGACAUCGCCCUCAGUGCUGUCAGGAGUCUGGAUGCACAAUUGGGGUCCUCUGCACCAAUUCUCCCCUGGGCAGACACCUGGAAAUAUCUGGGUUUGCUCAGGGCCUGCUCCUCCUACUGCAGCAAGUGUUCCUGCCAGGACCCUGUAAACAGAGAAGGCAUGCAUCCUCUGCAGGGACUCCUGGUGCCACAUGUCCCAUGAGUCAACAGAUGUAUAUGAUAUUUACUUGGAGCCAACACAAGAUUCUGUUCUCCCAACUCUUGGUCAUGAGCCCUAUGUCCUACAGGCUGCAUGCUCAGCUUUGUCUCUUAGUUUAACUGGGAAGUCCAUCAUUAUUGUCCACAGCAAUGCGUGUCUGGAGCACACAUUAUUGAAUUCCUGCAGACCUGGGUUCGAGUUCUCAUUCUGCAGUUUAUUAGCUAGACCACCCAAUAAAACCACUGUUACUCUAAAUCUGUUUCCUUAGCUUUAGAAAGAGUUUAAUUAUACCAAUUUUAUGAAUAAUGUUCCAAAAAUU
rnacentral:lncRNA from 1 species